GGGCAUGAUCUGGUGUAGGGGUUAUCACGUUAACCGCUUUGCACUCUCUGUUGAGAGAGCGUCGUGCGAUUCGUCGUAUCGAAAGGUCUCUGGUUCAAUUCCAGAUUUGUCCA